GACGUAGGGCGCGAGCGUUGUCCGGAUUUAUUGGGCGUAAAGGGCUCGUAGGCGGUUUGUCGCGUCGGGAGUGAAAUCCACUGGCUUAACUGGUGGCUUGCUUUCGAUACGGGCAGACUGGAGUACUGCAGGGGAGACUGGAAUUCCUGGUGUAGCGGUGGAAUGCGCAGAUAUCAGGAGGAACACCGGUGGCGAAGGCGGGUCUCUGGGCAGUAACUGACGCUGAGGAGCGAAAGCGUGGGGAGCGAACAGG
rnacentral:rRNA from 1 species